UUGCCAAAAAGAUCGUGCAAAGUCACAAUGGAUGAUCACAUGCGCACAAUCCUCAAUUGGAUCCAGGCAUAGAUCACAAAAUUGAGUAUUUGCAGUAAUAAUAGUGUAGUGUGCCAGUAAAGCUCUGUACUGAAGUUUAUCCCACACAAGCUUUCAGAGAAAUAUUUUAACUUUUGAAGGCACCUUCAAUGCCCAAAUCCACCCGGAGUCCACCUGCACUGGAUGAUAGUAGUCAAGAAUGAUCAAACCUUUUAUAUCUUGUAGAGAUACCUGCAAGCAUUUAGAUGAAGCUCACAUGAGUUUAUCCAGCCAUGCACCCUAGGUCAAAGGAAUAUUACCAAUUAGAUUGAUUAGAUCAGUUGAAAAAAAUAAAGAGAGAUACUAUAAAUCCCAACAUCCAUAAGCCGUAAUAAAAUGAGAUACCUGUAGUUGAGAUUUAUAUUAUCUAAAUUUAUGUAAGUUGGCCAAAAUAUGAUGGGAAUAUUUGUAAUCCAAGGCUCUUUGUAAAUAUUAAUUGAAUUACCUAUUCUAACCAACCAUUGAAACUAAAAUUUAAUGUGAGACACAGCC
rnacentral:lncRNA from 1 species